UUCUUGGUGUCUGCUUCAUCCUGGAG
rnacentral:piRNA from 1 species